rnacentral:rRNA from 1 species
UCUGCCUUACACUAAGGGAUAGCCCAGAGAAAUUUGGAUUAACACCUUAUAGUUUAUUUUUAUGGCAUCAUUUAAAUAAUAAAGUUUACGGUGUAAGAUGAGUAUGCGUCCCAUUAGUUUGUUGGUAAGGUAACGGCUUACCAAGACUACGAUGGGUAGGGGCCCUGAGAGGGGGAUCCCCCACACUGGUACUGAGACACGGACCAGACUCCUACGGGAGGCAGCAGUGAGGAAUAUUGGACAAUGGAGGAGACUCUGAUCCAGCCAUGCCGCGUGCAGGAAGACGGUCCUAUGGAUUGUAAACUGCUUUUAUACAGGAAGAAUAAGGACUACGUGUAGUCUGGUGACGGUACUGUAAGAAUAAGGACCGGCUAACUCCGUGCCAGCAGCCGCGGUAAUACGGAGGGUCCGAGCGUUAUCCGGAAUUAUUGGGUUUAAAGGGUCCGUAGGCGGGCUGUUAAGUCAGGGGUGAAAGUUUGCAGCUCAACUGUAGAAUUGCCUUUGAUACUGAUGGUCUUGAAUUAUUGUGAAGUGGUUAGAAUAUGUAGUGUAGCGGUGAAAUGCAUAGAUAUUACAUAGAAUACCGAUUGCGAAGGCAGAUCACUAACAAUUGAUUGACGCUGAUGGACGAAAGCGUGGGUAGCGAACAGGAUUAGAUACCCUGGUAGUCCACGCCGUAAACGAUGGAUACUAGCUGUUUGGAUUUCGAUCUGAGCGGCCAAGCGAAAGUGAUAAGUAUCCCACCUGGGGAGUACGUUCGCAAGAAUGAAACUCAAAGGAAUUGACGGGGGCCCGCACAAGCGGUGGAGCAUGUGGUUUAAUUCGAUGAUACGCGAGGAACCUUACCAGGGCUUAAAUGUAGAUUGACAGGUUUAGAGAUAGACUUUCCUUCGGGCAAUUUACAAGGUGCUGCAUGGUUGUCGUCAGCUCGUGCCGUGAGGUGUCAGGUUAAGUCCUAUAACGAGCGCAACCCCUGUUGUUAGUUACCAGCACAUUAUGGUGGGGACUCUAGCAAGACUGCCGGUGCAAACCGUGAGGAAGGUGGGGAUGACGUCAAAUCAUCACGGCCCUUACGUCCUGGGCCACACACGUGCUACAAUGGUAGGUACAGAGAGCAGCCACUUAGCGAUAAGGAGCGAAUCUAUAAAACCUAUCACAGUUCGGAUCGGAGUCUGCAACUCGACUCC